rnacentral:misc_RNA from 1 species
AGGCGCCGGACCACACCCAGC